CUGGCCUUGACAUCUGUCGAAUCCUUCAGAGAUGAGGGAGUGCCUUCGGGAACGACAAGACAGGUGCUGCAUGGCUGUCGUCAGCUCGUGUCGUGAGAUGUUGGGUUAAGUCCCGCAACGAGCGCAACCCUUGUCCUUAGUUGCCAUCAUUAAGUUGGGAACUCUAAGGAGACCGCCGGUGACAAACCGGAGGAAGGUGGGGAUGACGUCAAGUCAUCAUGGCCUUUAUGUCCAGGGCUACACACGUGCUACAAUGGCCGGUACAAACCGUUGCAAACCCGCGAGGGGGAGCUAAUCGGAAAAAGCCGGCCUCAGUUCGGAUCGCAGUCUGCAACUCGACUGCGUGAAGCUGGAAUCGCUAGUAAUCGCGGAUCAGAACGCCGCGGUGAAUACGUUCCC
rnacentral:rRNA from 1 species